ensembl:lncRNA
AUGACGUCUUCAACAACCACUACAACUCUUGCUGAAUCAUCCACUACUACUGCAGGAGUUACCACGACAGCACCACAAACUACUUUUACAACAGCUGAAUCCUCCACAACAGCUACAACAACAGCAGAUCCUUCAACAACCACUACAACUAUUGCUGAAACAUCCACUACUACUGCAGGAGUUACCACGAUACCACCACAAUCUACUGUUACAACAGCAGAAUCCUCCACAACAGCUACAACAACAGCAGUUCCUUCAACAACCACUACAACUCUAACUGAAGCAUCCACUACUACUGCAGGAACAACCACAACAGCCCCACAAACUACUGUUACAACAGCAGAAUCCUCCACAACAGCAACAACAACAGCAGUGCCCUCAACAACCACUACAACUCUUGCUGAAUCAUCCACCACUACUCCAGGAGUUACCACAACAGCACCACAAACUACUGUUGCAACAGCAGAAUCCUCCACAACAGAUACAACAACAGCAGUGCCCUCAACAAUCACUACAGCUCUUGCUGAAUCAUCCACCACUAUUGCAGGAGUUACCACGACAGCACUACAAACUACUGUUACAACAGUUGAAUCCUCCACAACAGCAACAACAACAACAGUUCCCUCAACAACAAUUACAACUCUUGAUAAAUCAUCCACGACUACUGCAGGAGUUACCACAACAGCCCCACAAACUACUGUUACAACAGUAGAAUCCUCCACAACAUCUACAACAACAACAACAGUGCCCUCAACAACCAUUACAACUGUUGCUGAAUCAUCCACGACUACUGCAGGAGUUUCCACGACAGCACUACAAACUACUGUUACAACAGCAGAAUCCUCCACAACAGCUACAACAACAGCAGUUCCUUCAACAACCAUUACAACUCUUACUGAGGCAUCCACUACUACUGCAGGAGUUACCACAACAGCACCACAAACUACUGUUACAACAGCAGAAUCCUCCACAACAUCUACAACAACAACAACAGUGCCCUCAACAACCAUUACAACUGUUGCUGAAUCAUCGACCACUACUGCAGGAGUUACCACAACAGCACCACAAACUACUGUUACAACAGCAGAAUCCUCCACAACAGCUACAACAACAGCAGUUCCUUCAACAACCAUUACAACUCUUACUGAGGCAUCCACUACUACUGCAGGAGUUACCACAACAGCCCCACAAACUAGUGUUACAACAGCAGAAUCCUCCACAACAGCAACAACAACAGCAGUUCCUUCAACAACCAUUACAACUCUUACUGAGGCAUCCACUACUACUGCAGGAGUUACCACAACAGCACCACAAGCUACUGUUACAACAGCAGAAUCCUCCACAACAGCUAGAACAACAGCAGCAACAUCUGAAACACCAGCAACUUCAUCGCCAACAGGUUCAGCCACAGUCUUUACAUCAAUUAUUGGUACAUCCACCAGUGGUACAGCAAUAACCACAAAAGUGACACAAUCUAAAGUUACUACAGAGUCUACAGCAUCUAACACUUCUACAGAACCUGCAGUGUCUACAGCUGCUAUAGCUUCUACUGUAUCUACAGCUUCAACAGCAUCUACAGCAUCAACAGCAUCUACAACCUCUACAGCAUCUACAGCCUCUACAACAUCUACAACCUCUACAGCAUCUACAACCUCUACAGCAUCUACAACCUCCAAAGCAACUACUGCAAAAAUAAUACCUGAAGUGCUAACAGAUCUAGUGUUUAGCUCUUUUGAGACAUUUAUAGAUGCACUCAGUGAUGUCAACAGUGAGGAGUUUAAGAUUAGGUCUAAACUUGUCAAGGAUGAGCUUGAGCCUGUCUACAAAAUCAAGUAUUCUAACUUCCUCAGAUUGAAUGUCCUAAGAUUCAGGUAAAUACAGUAUAUUGCAAUAUGAAUUAUUUUAUGAAUGCUCUGUGUGUGUGUGUGUGUGUGUGUGUGUGUGUGUGUGUGUGUGUGUGUCUGUGUCUGUGUGUGUGUGUGUGCGCGAGUGGUCCUGGUGUUCCCUUAUUGUGGGAACCAAAUGUCCCCACAAGGAUAAUAAUACCAGUAAAUUUUGACUUUUUUUUGGUCCCCAUGAGAAAACAAACUUAAAUCAUACAGAAUUAUCUUUAAAAAAAAUCUAAAAUAGCAGAAAGUCUUGUGUGAGGGUUAAUGGUAGGGUUAGGGUAAGGGGAUAGAAAAUACUGUUUGUACAGUAUAAGAAUCAUUACACCUAUGGAAUGUCCUCAAAACAUGGAAACAUGUGUGUGUUCCUACUUAACAAUAUUUUAAAGGGGCCUCUGAAUUCUUGAUCCAGGCCUGGUUAGAGUUAGUUUAUAGUAUUUAAAACUAGCUGUAUUAAGCUGUCCUCAUUUAGAUAGUUAAGUAAGUGUGUGUGUGUGUGUGUGUGUGUGUGUGUGUGUGUGUGUGUGUGUGUGUGUGUGUGUGUGUGUGUGUGUGUGUGUGUGUGUGUGUGUGAGUAAAAGAGAGAGGGGAAAAAAGAAACUUGCAAUAAACAGAAUUUAUAAAGCUAAUAUUUAUUAAUUUCAACAUUUAUAUAUUCUAGAUCAGGGUCAAUCAUCACAUCAACACAACUAGCUUUCAGCUUCAACCAAACUAUCCCAUCUGUUCAAGAGAUUUCAAACACCCUCUUGGAAGCAGUGGGAACAGGGGAUGUCAAUCCAUUAAAGAUAAUCCCUGAAUCAAUUUCAGUCAAUGGUUCAGGUAAGAUGAACUACACACACUACUCAACUCUCAACUCAACUCAACUUUACUUAUAUAGCACCAAUAAAAACAAAAAUUGUAGACCAAGGUGCUGUACUAGAUUUAUAGUCUUCUAUACCUGUAACUAGUCUAUAACUAUGAGUCUAUUGGAAUGUUCAGCUAAUUUGCUUAUGUUUUUAUUACUGCUUCAGCUACAACUGUUGCUCCUGCAACAACUACAACAACCACCACCACAGCAACUACAGUUUCAGGCGGAUUAAAGAUUGAAUCCAGUCUGUUCCAAGCAAUAUGCCUCAUUAUUAUGUCUAAAAUAUUAAGCUUUUUCCUAUAGAUCCCUUAAACAUAUCAACCAAACAUGAGAGUUCAACAAGACACACUGUAACAAAUUAAUUAAACACAAAAUGUAUUUAUUAUUAUUAUUAUUAAAUGUAUAGUAUUUCUCAUUGUAGCACAUUCUCAAAUACUAGUAUUGAGCAACAUAAAGAUAACUUUGAUAAUGCAUUUUUGCUGAAGAAUAUAACAGUAGAUAUCUGUUUAACAGCAGGCUGUUUUCUGGGAGGGAGAAGUAGAUCUUUUUCCUUAUGUAUUUCCUUUAAAUGUAAACAUUGUGAAUGUUGUUUAACAGUUUUGAGGUUAAUACUGUUUAAACUACUUAUUUUUGUUUGUCUAAGUUCUAACAUUGUAAUAUGUAAUAUUUUAAUUAAAUACAAAUAUUUAUUAAAUGAUGUAGUCCAAAAUAUUUUGCUUUCAUAAAAAAAGACUACAAUACAACUACAGCACAAUAAAUACUAUAUAUGCUAAACCUGGCUUUUUAUGGUACAGUGUUCACUGUUCAAACAACCCUUACCAAAAAGCAGUAUACUUCAAGUUUAUUUUAUUAAGUAUACUUAAAUAAAGUUCAAGUAUAUUUUUAAGUAUAAUUUAUGUAGUAAGUAUACAAAUAUCAGUGCACUAGUAGUAUACCUGUACAUGUACUAUUUCAAUACUCAUUGGGACUAAAUUGGCCCACUUUCUAGUAUAUAAAAGUAUACAUUUAAGUAUACUUUAAGUAUAACAGUAGUAAACUUUGAGUACACUAGUUUACAUCAAUAUUUUUAGCUUGCACUCCAACUAUACUAAAAGUGAACUUAUAGGUAUAAUGAGAGUUUACUAAUUAAAUACUUGUAGCAUUUUUAGAACACUUUGAAGUAUAGUCU